CAGCUGACAGUGUGCAAAACCCAAAAGGCAAUCUUGUCCAAUCACUAAUUCAAACAAGGACUUGCUACAUUUCAGGAUAUGAGAUGUGUGUCCCUCAGGACCAGAAAAUAGACUCAUCAGAAUGAAGAAAAGUGAGGACCAUGAUGAGAACAGCUCUAAUCCAUGUGGAACAGAAAGGUAUACUUUCAUAUCUGUGAAUUAAAAUUUCUGAUGGUUCAUAACUUAUGAAACAGAAUCGAUUCUAGAACAUUAAAUGUUCAGAAAGAAUCAAAUGCCACACUUGGAAACACUCCUACUGUCUAACAUCAACCAGACACACAAUGUGCAGAAAAAAAGUCUCAGUGGUCAUGUGGGAGAAAGCCUAGAUCCACGUCCAGUUU